AAUUAUCAACCUUCCUCUUGCUUUCAUUAGUUCGAGUUAGGCUUGGAUGUGAGGGUCUUGCCGGCUUUUGUGGUCAGCUCCCUUUAAAUGCAUUAGUGGGAUCUAUUGUGGACCGUCACUUGGUGUGAUAAUUAUCUAUGCCUUGAGACUUUGAAGCAAAUUUAUUAGAACCUGCUUAUAACCGUCCUUCACGGGACAACUUAUGACA
rnacentral:misc_RNA from 1 species